AACGAACGCUGGCGGCAGGCUUAACACAUGCAAGUCGAACGCACCGCAAGGUGAGUGGCAGACGGGUGAGUAACACGUGGGGAUCUGCCCAAUGGUACGGAAUAGCUCCGGGAAACUGGAAUUAAUACCGGAUGUGCCCUUCGGGGGAAAGAUUUAUCGCCAUUGGAUGAACCCGCGUCGGAUUAGCUAGUUGGUGUGGUAAAGGCGCACCAAGGCGACGAUCCGUAGCUGGUCUGAGAGGAUGAUCAGCCACACUGGGACUGAGACACGGCCCAGACUCCUACGGGAGGCAGCAGUGGGGAAUAUUGGACAAUGGGCGCAAGCCUGAUCCAGCCAUGCCGCGUGAGUGAUGAAGGCCUUAGGGUUGUAAAGCUCUUUCGCCGACGAAGAUAAUGACGGUAGUCGGAGAAGAAGCCCCGGCUAACUUCGUGCCAGCCGCCGCAGUAAGAC
rnacentral:rRNA from 1 species